GAGAAAAUGCGAAAAAAAGCGAUGUUAAAGGAAGAGAAGAGAAGAGAAAGCGAUGAUUCAGGCAAAAAAAGAGGUAUACUAAUUAACGCACAAGACAAUUAUUAAUUAUUAAUUGUGCAUUUUACUUGAGUACACAGUGCAUUAUACUUAUUUUGUACUUGCAGCUAACCAGAGAAUGCACUUAAAGAGGUCUGUAUGUACCCAUAAUUAUUAUACAUGUACUUACGUGUAAUCAUUAAUAAUAUUGUGUAUCCAUCCUUUACAGCUAACCAGCACAUCGUACUCUUCAAAAGAUUUACUACAGGACAUUGUGAUAAUUAUUUGCCUCGCAGAUGAUUUUAAAGAAAAUGAAUGGAAUAGACAAAAAAUUGGAUAGGCUCGAAGCGAAGUGUAUACCAUCAGAAGUGGUCACCCGUAUUAAGGAUGAACCACAGUACAUGGUAACUUAAUUUUUAUUGUAUGUUGUCUGUAUGUAUACAUGCAUCUUUUUGUAAGGUCGUAAAUAAGCGAAUGCUCCAAUUCUGAGAAUGAGCCUUCAUAAAGUAUAACGACGUCAACCUCCUUCAAAUUUUGUCAAAAGAUGCCAUUGCAUAUGGGAGGCACUUACGUUUUCAAAGGCUGAGCAACGAGAGUCGCUUGUUCACAAGGCACAUGAGCACAAAUCUCUAAAGCCACUCUUAGACAAGACCAAAAUUAAUCUCCUACUGGAAUUUGUCAAGAUCAAAUUUCCUGAGCACGACCAAAAGAAACUGCUUACUACAAUAUAUUACAGGAAAUUGGAAAUUGGUUUCAAAUACCUGCAAGAAUCGCUUGCAAUAAAUUAUGCUUAGUCUUACAAGCAUUUUCACUAGGGUCACAUGAUCCAAGUUCCAAGCAUGCCAUAUAGAAACAAAUGGAUAAAACGAAGUGUAACCAUCUGAAGGGCCUUUAUAAUAUUAUUAUGCUGCACUUGUAUGAAUACAUAAAACUAUGUACAAUAACAUGUCAAAAUCCUUAAUUCUGUAUGCCCAAGAAACCAAUAGCAACUUCCACCCCCACUAACAAGUUUACCCGUAACUAUAAUGUAGUAAUGAAUGUUACAUGUUAUAAUA